rnacentral:misc_RNA from 1 species
GAUGAAGAACGCAGCGAAAUGCGAUAAGUAAUGUGAAUUGCAGAAUUCAGUGAAUCAUCGAAUCUUUGAACGCACAUUGCGCCCUCUGGUAUUCCGGGGGGCAUGCCUGUUCGAGCGUCAUUAUAACCACUCAAGCUCUCGCUUGGUAUUGGAGUUCGCGAUCUCGCGGCUCCUAAAAUCAGUGGCGGUGCCUGUCGGCUCUACGCGUAGUAAUACUCCUCGCGAUUGAGUCCGGUAGGUUUACUUGCCAGCAACCCCCAAUUUUUACAGGUUGACCUCGGAUCAGGUAGGGAUACCCGCUGAACUUAAGCAUAUCAAUAAGCGGAGGAA